GUCGGUGACGUUAUGUCUGGUGACACACCUGAUCCCAUCCCGAACUCAGAAGUUAAGCCCAGGCAGCCGAUGAUACUGCUCAGCGGGAAAGUAGGUCAUUGCCGACU
rnacentral:rRNA from 1 species